UACGUAGGGGGGCAAGCGUUGUCCGGAUUUAUUGGGCGUAAAGAGCUCGUAGGCGGUUUGUCGCGUCGACUGUGAAAACCCGAGGCUUAACCUCGGGCCUGCAGUCGAUACGGGCGGACUAGAGUUCGGUAGGGGAGACUGGAAUUCCUGGUGUAGCGGUGAAAUGCGCAGAUAUCAGGAGGAACACCGGUGGCGAAGGCGGGUCUCUGGGCCGAUACUGACGCUGAGGAGCGAAAGCGUGGGGAGCGAACAGG
rnacentral:rRNA from 1 species